rnacentral:rRNA from 1 species
UACGGGGGGAGCAAGCGUUGUUCGGAUUUACUGGGCGUAAAGGGCGCGUAGGCGGUCGUGACAAGUCACUUGUGAAAUCUCCGGGCUUAACUCGGAACGGUCAAGUGAUACUGUCGGACUAGAGUACAGAAGGGGCAACUGGAAUUCUCGGUGUAGCGGUGAAAUGCGUAGAUAUCGAGAGGAACACCGGUGGCGAAGGCGGCUAUCUGGACCGACAUUGACGCUGAGGCGCGAAAGCGUGGGGAGCAAACAGG